GUAGGCCGCAGAGAAUAGGCCCAAGCAACUGUUUAGCAAAAACACAGGUCUCUGCUAAAGCGUAAGCUGAUGUAUAGGGGCUGACGCCUGCCCGGUGCUGGAAGGUUAAGGGGAACACUUAGCGCAAGCGAAGGUGUGAACUUAAGCCCCAGUAAACGGCGGCCGUAACUAUAACGGUCCUAAGGUAGCGAAAUUCCUUGUCAGGUAAGUUCUGACCCGCACGAAUGGCGUAAUGACUUGGGCACUGUCUCAACUGUAAAUCCGGCGAAGUUGUAGUGCGAGUGAAGAUGCUCGCUACCCGCGAUUGGACGGAAAGACCCCGUAGAGCUUUACUGUAGCUUAGCAUUGAGUUUUGGUAUUGUCUGUACAGGAUAGGUGGGAGACUAGGAAACCAGGGCGUCAGCCUUGGUGGAGUCAACCUUGGGAUACCACCCUG
rnacentral:rRNA from 1 species